UAUGAAAUGGCAGAAUUAAUGCAUAAGCCUUAAGAGCUUAGCAUGACCGAAGGUCUUUCAUAA
rnacentral:tRNA from 1 species